rnacentral:piRNA from 1 species
UGCCAACAUACAGCAUGGUCAGAGAUCAC